AGUCCACAUCGUGUCUCCAGGUAUCCAUGCAAGGUCUUCAUGUUCAAGAAUCCAGAAUGUGUUUUCUGUAGAAUGAAUUCUGCUUUAAACACCCAUUUGGUGCUGUUAUUGAUGGUGUUUGCCCAACUACCUUCUUCCUUUACUAAAGGUACCAUUCAGGUAAUUGGUUCAUCUCACCCAAUAGUUGCUUUAGUGGGUGAUGACAUCAUACUGCCAUGCUA